rnacentral:rRNA from 1 species
AGAGUUUGAUCCUGGCUCAGGAUGAACGCUGGCGGCGUGCCUAAUACAUGCAAGUCGAACGAGGCCCUUUGUAUUCGUACGAAGGUGUCCUAGUGGCGAACGGGUGAGUAACGCGUUGGUGACCUACCCCGAAGUGGGGGAUAACAGUUCGAAAGAACUGCUAAUACCCCAUAUGGCUAUGAGCGUUAAAGGGCUCAUAACUAAAGGAUUUAUCCGCUUCGGGAGGGGCCUGCGUCCCAUCAGCUAGUUGGUAAGGUAAUGGCUUACCAAGGCUAAGACGGGUAGGGGACCUGAGAGGGUGACCCCCCACACUGGUACUGAAACACGGACCAGACACCUACGGGUGGCAGCAGUAGGGAAUAUUGCGCAAUGGACGAAAGUCUGACGCAGCAACGCCGCGUGCACGAUGAAGGUCUUCGGAUCGUAAAGUGCUUUUAUGUGGGAAGAGAACGGACGGUACCACAUGAAUAAGGAUCGGCUAACUACGUGCCAGCAGCCGCGGUAACACGUAGGAUCCAAGCGUUAUCCGGAUUUACUGGGCGUAAAGCGCGUGCAGGUGGUUUGCUAAGUUGGGUGUUAAAGCUCCUGGCUCAACUGGGAGUUGUCGCUCAAAACUAGCAGACUAGAGGAUGGUAGAGGGAGGUGGAAUUCCGGGUGUAGUGGUGAAAUGCGUAGAUAUCCGGAGGAACACCAGUGGCGAAGGCGGCCUCCUGGCCAUUCCUGACACUCAGACGCGAAAGCUAGGGUAGCAAACGGGAUUAGAAACCCCGGUAGUCCUAGCUGUAAACGAUGUGAACUUGGUGUUGGCGGGGUAAAACCCGGCAGUGCCGAAGCAAACGCGAUAAGUUCACCGCCUGGGGACUACGGCCGCAAGGUUAAAACUCAAAGGAAUUGACGGGGCCCCGCACAAGCAGCGGAGCGUGUGGUUUAAUUCGAUGGUACGCGAAGAACCUUACCUGGGUUUGACAUAUAGGUGGUAGUGAACUGAAAAGGGAACGACCCUUCGGGGAGCCUAUACAGGUGCUGCAUGGCUGUCGUCAGCUCGUGCCGUGAGGUGUCCGGUUAAGUCCGGUAACGAGCGCAACCCCUGCUGUAUGUUACAAGUGUCAUACGGGACUGCCGGUAUAAAGCCGGAGGAAGGUGGGGACGACGUCAAGUCAGCAUGGCCUUUAUAUCCAGGGCUACACACACGCUACAAUGGUCUGUACAACAGGUUUGCAAUACCGCGAGGUGGAGCCAAUCCUCAAAGCAGGCCUCAGUUCGGAUUGUAGGCUGCAACUCGCCUACAUGAAGUCGGAGUUGCUAGUAACCGCGCGUCAGCAAUAGUGCGGUGAAUACGUUCCCGGGGCUUGUACACACCGCCCGUCACGUCACGGAAGCUGGCAAUACCUGAAGUCGGUAUCCUAACCGCAAGGAAGGAGCUGCCCAAGGUAGGGCUGGUAACUGGGACGAAGUCGUAACAAGGUAGGUGUACCGGAAGGUGCGGCUGGAUCACCUCCUU